AGUACUGGGGACUGAAGUUAUUUGAGGCCAACACUAUACAGCUGAGAUAUGUCUCCAGGCCUCUAGGAUGUCUUCGAAAUGUUCUUGUUCAAGCAGUCUGAGUGUGAAGCAACUCUUUGGUCAUUGGAACCUUCUCUCUCAGUUCUCUGGAAAGUCACUGACAUCUCCUCUCAGCCCACGUCCACACACAUUAUUCUCAGUGCUGGUGCUGGGCGCUGAAGCCCCAGGACAUCCAUGGAUGCCAUGCUGAGGUUCCUGGCUAUGGCUGAGGUCAUUGCAGAGUAAAGGCAUACACAGCAUGAGUCAGGAGUAGCCUGUCACAUGUCCCUAGCUGGACUCUGUCUUCUUCUGUGUAGCUGGAUGAAGAGAUUAGUGUCGUGUGUGCUGUAUUCGUUACUUUGCCAUUGAUGUGACCAAACACCGGACAUAAUACAACUUAAUGGAGAAAGG